rnacentral:rRNA from 1 species
AUGUAAAUGCCUACAACAUAGUUCUAAUGCAUUGGAUACUAUUAUAUCUAUGUAGUUAAGCGUGCUCAGGCUAGAGUUGUACUAGGAUUGGUGACCACCCAGGAAUUCCUAGUGUUUUACAUG